CUCCAUUUAAGUUUUGGACCUGUCAGCUGUGGCAUGCUUCCUUUGUAGCCAUGGACAAGCUUUUUAUUUGUUGGAAAAGGUGUCAUCCUUUGUAUAGUAUCAGAGUCUGACUUUCACAAGUAACGUUC
ensembl:snoRNA Gm26458 small nucleolar RNA SNORA24